rnacentral:rRNA from 1 species
GACGAACGCUGGCGGCGUGCUUAACACAUGCAAGUCGAACGGAAAGGCCCUGCUUUUGUGGGGUGCUCGAGUGGCGAACGGGUGAGUAACACGUGAGUAACCUGCCCUUGACUUUGGGAUAACUUCAGGAAACUGGGGCUAAUACCGGAUAGGAGCUCCUGCUGCAUGGUGGGGGUUGGAAAGUUUCGGCGGUUGGGGAUGGACUCGGGGCUUAUCAGCUUGUUGGUGGGGUAGUGGCUUACCAAGGCUUUGACGGGUAGCCGGCCUGAGAGGGUGACCGGCCACAUUGGGACUGAGAUACGGCCCAGACGCCUACGGGAGGCAGCAGUGGGGAAUAUUGCACAAUGGGCGGAAGCCUGAUGCAGCAACGCCGCGUGCGGGAUGACGGCCUUCGGGUGGGAAACCGCUUUCGCCUGUGACGAAGCGUGAGUGACGGUAAUGGGGAAAGAAGCACCGGCUAACUACGU